rnacentral:tRNA from 1 species
GUUUUUGUAGUAUAGUGGUGAGUAUCCCCGCUUGUCACGCGGGAGACCUAAGUUCGAUCCCUGGCAACGGUG